rnacentral:rRNA from 1 species
GACGAACGCUGGCGGCGUGCUUAACACAUGCAAGUCGAACGGAAAGGCCCUGCUUUUGUGGGGUGCUCGAGUGGCGAACGGGUGAGUAACACGUGAGUAACCUGCCCUUGACUUUGGGAUAACUUCAGGAAACUGGGGCUAAUACCGGAUAGGAGCUCCUGCUGCAUGGUGGGGGUUGGAAAGUUUCGGCGGUUGGGGAUGGACUCGCGGCUUAUCAGCUUGUUGGUGGGGUAGUGGCUUACCAAGGCUUUGACGGGUAGCCGGCCUGAGAGGGUGACCGGCGACAUUGGGACUGAGAUACGGCCCAGACUCGUACGGGAGGCAGCAGUGGGGAAUAUUGCACAAUGGGCGGAAGCCUGAUGAAGCAACGCCGCGUGCGGGAUGACGGCCUUCGGGUUGUAAACCGCUUUCGCCUGUGACGAAGCGUGAGUGACGGUAAUGGGUAAAGAAGCACCGGCUAACUACGUG